UGGUUGGAUCACUAGAGAAAUCUGCUUCCAAACCGCCAACUGAAGAAGACGGCACGCACCACCGUGCAAGAUAUCAAUCAGGAGAAAGCAAAUUUAUUGUCUUUUAUGAUUAACAUCAGUGAUCUGACAACUGAUUUGAAUGUUUGUUUUUUCUUCGAUUAGCAUGUUACUUCCAUCGAGUGCAUACCAAAAGAGCAAAUCGAAGAAGAGAAAUCAUAGGAGUCCGGCUAACAGAAAAACAGGGCGUGAACCAAGAUGCAAAAGGGCACCACAUAAGAAGAAAAAAGGCGCUCCACGAGACAAGAUUUAGGCCACGACCGCAGUUCUCGGCAUCGCUUCAGCGGCGCAUCCCUGCAUGCGGCAUGAGCGAAGCAGUAGCAUGGCCUCGUCAAUCCCAGCCUCGGCGUGUAACGCGCGUACCCUUUUGGUCAGCAUCGCGGUCAGCGAACACAUCGCGGCGGCGACCAACAACCGGUGCUCUGCGUGGCAGCGCACAGCGCAGCCUCAACCGACGCGGAGACGGGUUACGAACCGCAAGACCAGGCGGCAACGGCGGCGUCGCUGGGCCGGCGACGCGA
rnacentral:lncRNA from 1 species